rnacentral:misc_RNA from 1 species
CGGUUACUGCCCUUCCCGUCCCAUGUGGCGAAAUUCCGGUGGCCUUAAGCAAUUCCGAGGGAGCUGGCUCUGUCGCGGCCCUGGCCGAGUUACCUGGCGCCCACCUGUAUAUACAGGUCCUCGGGAAUGUACGUCCGACGGUCGUGGUGGUUUCCGC